UGAGCGGUAGCAUAAUGGUAAUGCGUCCGGCUGUUAACCGGAGGAUUGUAGGUUCGAGUCCUACCCGCUCAG
rnacentral:tRNA from 1 species